rnacentral:rRNA from 1 species
AUGCCACUCUCCGACUCCCGGUUGCGGUGCAUCGACCAACAACCGAUCAUUGACAAGUUGGCCAAGCGCAUGGGUGGCUGGAAGGCGAGACACAUCGCACUAUCGGGCCGUGUUGAACUCAUGCGCGCCAUGCUCUCGGGCAUGGUCAUAUUCCAGCUCAUGGCUUUGGAUCCUCUGGUUUGGUUGGUAAAAAAAGUGGACAAGCUUCAUUGUGGUUUUCUCUGGGCGUAGCACGAGGAGGCAACAGCCGGUAAAUGCCUGGUGAACUGGUCAGCGGUGUGUCGCCCAUGGGAAUACGGUGGUCUUGGCAUCCCAGACUUGCAGAGGCAAGGCAGAGCUCUGCGCUGCCGUUGGCAAUGGCUUAUCUGGACUGACCGCUCUAGGCCAUGGCACGGACUUCCCUUACCCGCUGACCGCACUGCCGAGGAACUCUUCCAAGCAUCAACCAAAAUCACCAUUGGGGAUGGUAGGAGCACCCCUUUCUGGGACUCGCAUUGGGCACAGGGUAUG